rnacentral:rRNA from 1 species
CCUACGGGUGGCUGCAGUGGGGAAUAUUGGACAAUGGGGGGAACCCUGAUCCAGCCAUGCCGCGUGUGUGAAGAAGGCCCUCGGGUUGUAAAGCACUUUCAGUGAGGAAGAACGCCUGGUGGUUAAUACCCAUCAGGAAAGACAUCACUCACAGAAGAAGCACCGGCUCAACUCCGUGCCAGCAGCCGCGGUAAUACGGAGGGUGCGAGCGUUAAUCGGAAUUACUGGGCGUAAAGCGCGCGUAGGUGGCUUGAUAAGCCGGUUGUGAAAGCCCCGGGCUCAACCUGGGAACGGCAUCCGGAACUGUCAAGCUAGAGUGCAGGAGAGGAAGGUAGAAAUCCCGGUGUAGCGGUGAAAUUCGUAGAGAUCGGGAGGAAUACCAGUGGCGAAGGCGGCCUUCUGGACUGACCCUGACACUGAGGUGCGAAAGCGUGGGUAGCAAACAGGAUUAGAUACCCUUGUAGUC